UACGUAGGCAGCAAGCGUUGUUCGGAGUUACUGGGCGUAAAGGGUGCGUAGGCGGUCCCUUAAGUUCGGUGUGAAAUCUCCCGGCUCAACUGGGAGGGUGCGCCGGAAACUGAGGGACUCGAGUGCGGGAGGGGAGAGCGGAAUUCCUGGUGUAGCGGUGAAAUGCGUAGAUAUCAGGAGGAACACCGGUGGUGCAGACGGCUCUCUGGACCGUAACUGACGCUGAGGCACGAAAGCGUGGGUAGCAAAC
rnacentral:rRNA from 1 species